AAGAAAUUUCCCAUCGAGCACCUCUGAGUUUCUUUCUCUUUGAGUUAAGACACACAACUGAUGAACUUGUUAGCUGCAUGGUUUGUUAAUAUGUUGCUUGACUGGUUGAGUUCAUCCAGCAUUUCUGCUUUUGCUUCAGGAUCCAGCAUCUGCAGAUUUAUCUGUUUAUUAGACUGUGUGAAGAAUCCAUCAGCACAGCAACGUCCAUGUUCAGUACUAUGGUGAACUACAUAUACCUGUCUGGACACGGCCACCUGCUGACUGCUCCUGUGGCUCCUCCCACAGACCCCUGUAUAAAGGCGAUUGGAGGCACUGCUCCUCCCUCAGUCUCCAUGAUGUCGUAUGGUGGGCUCUUGCUGCUGACGGUGCUUUCU